UUAGGCACUGUUUUUAUUCGACAACAUAUCUCUACAUAUUGCAAACAUGUAUUAGAAAAUUGUACCUAUGCCAGCAUGUACUAAAUUUUUUUGCUAGCGAAUAGUUUACAUAAUACAUCAUAUAAGAAGAGAUUGAAAAAAAUUACAGGAAAAGAAAGUUGGACUUUAUGUCAGCAGUUAUGGGUUAAAAGUAACUUUUCAUAUAAAUGCUGUAUAAUUUAUAGGAUUUAAUUCGAUGUACAUAUACAUCGUUCAUUUGUCAUUAAAGGGUUGAGAAUCUUCUUCAGAAAAAUUAUUAGACAUAAUUAUACGAUUUUCCUUGUACUUGUUAAAAUGUGCUUGUAUCGUAAGAAAUGCGUUAUCGUUCCUCAUGAUAUGUAUGAUAUCCGCCAAAAGGGAUUGUCCUACAUAGAUGUAACUUAUUUUCAUUAGCGUAUAAAAGUUUUGUUUUCAAACUUACUAAAUCUGUCAUACUCUAAAAAAUGGGGCUAAACAAACGUGUAUCUUUCAGCGUUAAAUAUGUUUAUCGUGAAAUACACACAUUGCAUUAAUCUUCCACGUAACACGAAUAAAAGCAAUCGAGUAUCGUGACGCUACCAAGCAAUUUACAUUUUUUUUCAAGGGUGAAAGGGAAGUAUGUAUUCAAUUUCCUCCACUUUAACCAAAACAAAGAAAGGACAUAAUUCGAAAGUGUCCAAUCAAAUGCGAUCAAGGUUUCAAUAAUCCGAGACCUUGGCAUCGUGUACUUUCGUUUUGCACGAGCCAACACGUGUCACAAUAUAGUAAACAUCGUGGAAACGGAUUAAGCUUUUGGGUAAUUUUCAUCGGCCAUUAUUUCGGUAUGUCAUUUCAGGCGCAACCAUGCUAUUAAUUAAUUCGAUUAAGCGUACCGUCGAUAUCGUUUCAUCGCCAAAUGGAAAGAGAUAAUGGGGCAAUUUUAGAGAGAGAGAGAGAGAAAGAGAGAGAGAGAGAGAGAGAGAGAGACGAAAAAAAGAGGAACGUGAGAAAGUUCUUAUGAUCGAGCGAAACGCGAGCAAUUAUCGUUUAUCUGCAUUGUACGGUCAUCGAUCGGCAAAAUGGGCGGUACCGUUCGAUCGUUCGACUUAAUACGCAGAUCAGUUCCGCGUUUCACGAUCUUUUCUCUCAUGAUUUGCAAUUUGUACUUUUGUAUUGCAGGAUAUAUCUACGUAUAAUCGUUCAGAAGUACCUGGAAAUACACUCAUGGACGCUCUUUUUUGACAAGAUAUAAUUUGAUAUAAUAGCGACGAUUGACGGAUAUGUAAUGAAAUAUUGCCGCUUGCAAGAAUGAAAAUACGUCAUAGUAGAAUCUUUUAGCCAGGUUUAUCACAGAAUAUUCUGGGAAAGUUCUUUAUCCCCGUUUAAUCUACAAAACAUAAAUCAGAUAGACUAUCUGGUCUCUAAGACACAGAUCAGAUAAGGAAGAUUCUUUUAAAUUAACAAAAGGACUAUGAAUACCAUGUAGGUACAUGAACGAAUCGCAUAUUUAAUUUUAAUACACUGUCGAUCAAGUUUUUAAACAAACAAUUCGAAUUUAUUAUUUGUUAAUACAUAUAAAUUCUAUUUUCUUCGCAAAUAAAUUCUCGGCAAGUCUACAUUAUUCGUUGAAUCUGUAAAAGUAUGAUGAGUAUUGCUUUUAGCCAUUAGUUUCCCAUUAAUAUAUAAAUAUAUUUUACUUAACAUUCAUGUUGUUACAAACCAGUUACAGUUUUUUUUAGAUGUUUAUCGACAAUAGUAUAUGUAUAUAUAGCCUGAAGCAAGGAAGUCUGACAGGGACACAAGACGUUAAUAGAAUAUUCUUGCUCUGAUUAUAAAUGAUUGACGGUUAUAUAAGAACAUACAGAGACAUACAAAAAUAUAUACGAGAAACGCUAAACUCUGUAACACAAUCCUGCGUCGUUUAACGUACGCAAAACUUAAAAUUUAAAACGAUAGAUGCAGGUUUAUGAAUUUAUGACUGGAGCGGUCAAGGCUCGCAAAGGGGGAGUCGAUGAAAGUUCAUGGAGAUACGAAUAACUCAGUUGAAUUCGAUGAAUGUUCGGGAUGAUUCAAGAGAAUAACAAGGUUUGGUCGUAUAUAAUCGCAUCUCUGUCCUGAUACGCGCGCAAGACGCAGCGUCAUGGUCAGAACAGGCUGUCAGCGGAAACAACUUGGCUGAGAAACUACAAUGAGGCACGGCGGCACAUCGCCUUGAGAACCGAGAGGAAAAUAAAGCAAGCGAGCUCGAAGAGAGUUUAAUCGAAGGAAAUAAGAAAUGACGGAAGGAUAAUGAGAAAGUUUAAACGAAUUUCACUUUUUAGCCGACUCAGCAGUGAUCUUUGAACCUUCUGCGAUCUAAUCCUGUUCUUGUUUUGUUAGAAAAAGUCGGGGAAAAAGAACUUCGGCGCAACGCGAUGAAAUAGAACAGUGUUUUAUAUUUCUCCGACAGAGAAUUGUUUGGUGCAGGAGGAACACGAUUGGAUCGAACAUGACUUAAGGGAUUUGUAAUAAGGGGCGUUGAAGAUGAAUUUAUUAAGACUAGAAGAGGUUUAUUGUACGUUUCAAUUUAGAUUAUAAUUAUGGACAUUCAACGAGAUGUAUUUUCACUAAAUUACGUAGGUAAAAAAGAAAUUCUGUUAAGCAAACACGGCUGAUGCAAUCUUUCUAAACAUCUCUGAAAAUUGUUUUCACUGACUUUAGCAUUCUCCUCUGGCGCGUUUUUUGUUAAACUGCACAAUUUUUGUUAAACAAAUUUCUUUUUAUCUUCAACCGACUUUUCGACCUAACUUUUUUCGAGUUAGCUUCCAAAGGAUCGAAAUUUGAAGGGUGAUUUCACCCCUUAAACUUGAGUUCCUGCAGCUAGAAAAAAAAAAGAUGCGUAUCUAAUAUCUUUGGCUGGCUGUUCUUCGAGCCUACGAUGUUUCAUCGAACUCGAAGGUACCAUACGCGUCCUUUCUUCUAAAGUAAAAGUGGAAGACAAGGAAAUCUUGUCUUCAUGACCAGCAAGAACGCU